rnacentral:lncRNA from 1 species
CUUAAUCUCAUUUAAAUUAAAGAAGUAGUAAAAUAAAUUAAAAUAAGAUUAAAAUCAUAUUUCAUAUUUUAUCAUGGAGAUCUCACUUAUUUAAAAUUUUAUCUAGCACGGUGAAAAGUUAUGCAUAUGAUGAAAAAUGUCCGUAGAUGAUAGUGAAAACCGAGCAAGAGAAUUUUAGUGUGAAUUAAUGAAUGAAAAUUAAAAUUAUACUUCAAAUCUUAUAUAUCCUUAUAUAAUUAGAUCGCACAGAUCGAUAGAUCACAAAAUGGAGUAUGAUGAUGUAAAUUUAAAAUAUGAAGUUAGUAGCAAAACAAACCUUCAACUUCAAGAGUAUAUGAGCGUCACUGCGUUGCCAUGUCACCACUUCAUCGUUCUCCCUUGUCUGGUCGUAAUAGUAGCCACAAGCAACAAUCUAAGAUCCGGAAGAGUUGGGUAAAAUUAUCUUAUCAAACCAAAAAUAAAAUUAAAAAGUACGGUACUAGUACUUUAUAGUGUUGUGAAAAUAAAAAUAAAAAACAUACAACAAUAGUUUUGGUAGAGAAAUCUAAUUUGUAGAUAUUUAGGUGUGUUCAAAUUUUUGGGUAUAAAGUAAACUAAUUUUGGUAGUCAACAAUUUUUACUUAGUGAUAAUUAUAUCAUUAUUUU